UGCGUAGGCGGCAUUAUAAGCCAGAGGUGAAAGCUUACAGCUUAACUGUGAAAUUGCCUUUGAAACUGUAAUGCUUGAAUCACGUUGAGGUCAGCGGAAUGUGACAUGUAGCGGUGAAAUGCAUAGAUAUGUCAUAGAACACCAAUUGCGAAGGCAGCUGGCUAGGCGUGUAUUGACGCUGAGGCACGAAAGCGUGGGGAGCGAACAGGAUUAGAUACCCUGGUAGUCC
rnacentral:rRNA from 1 species